rnacentral:lncRNA from 1 species
UAAAAGAAAAUACAAGAGGAUCAGCUAAUUAUGAUUUCAUUCAACAUUGAAUCUCAUGGAGGAGAUGACAAAUGAUGGUAUAUCUAACAAUUGAGCUAUUUCUCAUGGCAAAUUAAAUUUUCUCGUUAAUCAUAACCAAAUUCCUUGUCAUUGAGACACAGAUUUUGAAAAUCAAAUCUGUUUUUUCUUGAGGAUACACCAUUUCAGUGACAUAUUUACAAACAUACACUCCCAUUAAUAUAGAAAUCUUUCUGAUGCCUGGUUGAGUAGGAGGGCAACACAGUGACCAAGGAAGCUGUGGGUACAAGCGUGGGUGAAGUCAACUGCAGUCGCAAGAUACCAUUUGAAAACCAAGCAACAUAUCAUUUCAUACAACAACAAAGGUAAUCAUAACGACGAUCAAUGAAACAAAUGCAUUAAAAUAAUUACACGAAGAAGUAACUAUCUCUUACACACCAUUACAAUUUACAUAAAAUAACAAGACUUAAGCAGUCGAUAAAACUAAAUACAUACAUCCUCUCUCCCACCAUUAUAUUUUACACCAUUACAUUUUACAUCAAAUACAAACUAUUCUAAAGAAACAGGUCAUUUGACACAACAUCUUCAUGAGACACGUGUUCUGAUUCAUCUAUUCAGCACCACUACAGUCUUGCCCAUCUGACAUAUGGUUCUGGGUUGGAUGUAUCUUCCAAUCAGCUGCCUCAUAGAAAAUCUCGAAGCCAUACUACCAUCAAACCUCUGACAUCAGCUCUCCAGGAUCUAAUCUCUGCUCGACCACACUGAAACCUCACCUCACAUCACCAAACAUCAAACAUCAUCGUGGUCCCUUCAAACCACCACUUCCUAUCCCAAGACUACCAUCACCCACUCUCUCUCUCUCUCUGUCUCAGUCUCCCUCCCUCUAUCAACCUCCCCCCACCACAACUUUGUCACAUACAUAAACACACACAACUACUAAACUGUGAUGACACCCCCCCUCUGAAAGUCUCCCCUCCCCUCUACCGCCACUUGCACCAACAUACAACACCCAAUAUCCAUCAAGCUGAGCUAUACUGUCACCUAAACUGUAAA